AUUGAACGCUGGCGGCAGGCCUAACACAUGCAAGUCGAACGAGUGGCGGACGGGUGAGUAAUGUCUGGGAAACUGCCUGAUGGAGGGGGAUAACUACUGGAAACGGUAGCUAAUACCGCAUACCAUCAGAUGUGCCCAGAUGGGAUUAGCUAGUGGGUGGGGUAACGGCUCACCAAGGCGACGAUCCCUAGCUGGUCUGAGAGGAUGACGAGCCACCAGGGAACUGAGACACGGUCGAGACUCCGACGGGGGGCAGCAGGGGGAAAUAUUGCACAAGGGGCGCAAGCCUGAAGCAGCCAUGCCGUGUGUAUGAAGAAGGCCUGCGGGUUGUAAAGUACUUUCAGCGGGGAGGCGUUACCCGCAGAAGAAGCACCGGCUAAUUCCGUGCCAGCAGCCGCGGUAAUA
rnacentral:rRNA from 1 species